rnacentral:rRNA from 1 species
CAGCCGCCACGGUAAUACGUAGGUGGCAAGCGUUGUCCGGAAUUAUUGGGCGUAAAGGGCUCGCAGGCGGUUUCUUAAGUCUGAUGUGAAGGCCCCCGGCUCAACCGGGGAGGGCCAUUGGGAACUGGGAAACUUGAGUGCAGAAGAGGAGAGUGGAAUUCCACGUGUAGCGGUGGAAUGCGUAGAGAUGUGGAGGAACACCAGUGGCGAAGGCGAUUCUCUGGUCUGUAACUGACGCUGAGGAGCGAAAGCGUGGGGAGCGAACAGGAUUAGAUACCCCAGUAGUCCCUGUCUCUUAUAC